rnacentral:tRNA from 1 species
GCGCCUAUAGCUCAGCGGAUAGAGCGACUGCCUUCGGAGCAGUAGGUCGGGGGUCCGAAUCCCUCUGGGCGCGCCA